AUUGAACGCUGGCGGCAUGCCUUACACAUGCAAGUCGAACGGCAGCACGGGGCAACCUGGUGGCGAGUGGCGAACGGGUGAGUAAUGCAUCGGAACGUACCUUUCAGUGGGGGAUAACGUAGCGAAAGUUACGCUAAUACCGCAUAUUCUGUGAGCAGGAAAGCAGGGGAUCGCAAGACCUUGCGCUGAUUGAGCGGCCGAUGUCAGAUUAGCUAGUUGGUGAGGUAAAGGCUUACCAAGGCGACGAUCUGUAGCGGGUCUGAGAGGAUGAUCCGCCGCACUGGAACUGAGACACGGUCCAGACUCCUACGGGAGGCAGCAGUGGGGAAUUUUGGACAAUGGGGGCAACCCUGAUCCAGCCAUGCCGCGUGAGUGAAGAAGGCCUUCGGGUUGUAAAGCUCUUUCGGCCGGGAAGAAAUCGCACGGGCUAAUACCCUGUGUGGAUGACGGUACCGGAAUAAGAAGCACCGGCUAACUACGUGCCAGCAGCCGCCGUAAUAC
rnacentral:rRNA from 1 species